rnacentral:rRNA from 1 species
GACGAACGCUGGCGGCGUGCUUAACACAUGCAAGUCGAACGGAAAGGCCCUGCUUUUGUGGGGUGCUCGAGUGGCGAACGGGUGAGUAACACGUGAGUAACCUGCCCUUGACUUUGGGAUAACUUCAGGAAACUGGGGCUAAUACCGGAUAGGAGCCCUGCUGCAUGGUGGGGGUUGGAAAGUUUCGGCGGUUGGGGAUGGACUCGCGGCUUAUCAGCUUGUUGGUGGGGUAGUGGCUUACCAAGGCUUUGACGGGUAGCCGGCCUGAGAGGGUGACCGGCCACAUUGGGACUGAGAUACGGCCCAGACUCCUACGGGAGGCAGCAGUGGGGAAUAUUGCACAAUGGGCGGAAGCCUGAUGCAGCAACGCCGCGUGCGGGAUGACGGCCUUCGGGUUGUAAACCGCUUUCGCCUGUGACGAAGCGUGAGUGACGGUAAUGGGUAAAGAAGCACCGGCUAACUACGUG